rnacentral:rRNA from 1 species
UACGGAAGAUGCGAGCGUUGUCCGGAUUUAUUGGGUUUAAAGGGAGCGUAGGCGGCCUAUUAAGUCAGCGGUUAAAUGUCAGCGCCCAACGUUGUCAUGCCGUUGAUACUGGUUGGCUUGAAUACACACAAGGGCGGUGGAAUUCGUUGUGUAGCGGUGAAAUGCUUAGAUAUGACGAAGAACUCCGAUUGCGAAGGCAGCCUCCUGGGGUGCGAUUGACGCUGAGGCUCGAAAGUGUGGGAAUCAAACA